GAAAUAUCUCCCACUUCUCACUCUCUCUUUCAGGUCCAUUUUAGUAACCAAAAUAACUGAGAAAGAAUAUUGACAGGAAAUAACCAGAUAAAAACAGAAAAUACAACAAGAUGUAAUGCAAAAAAGGGAGUAUAAGUCAAAAAAACUGAAAGAAGUUUUAGUGUAUAAUUUUUGUUCUCCUUAGCUGCUGAACUUUAUCUAUUUGGAUUUGGCUUGCUUGAUGCUGGACGAUUAAUGAAGGAAGCCCUAACUGGACAAAGAAAAGGAUUGACAAUAAGAUGUGGAUGUUCAUCUUUAAUGAACUCUAGUCACCAAGUGAAAAUCAGCUAAUUUUGAUGAUGCAACUGACCACCUUCUCAGCAAUAGGUGAAUAUUUACUCCUUCACAAAAUGAGCAAACCUAUUAACUGUGAACAUGGAAAGAUGAAGCAAGCAAAAAACAAAGAGAAGUGUGAAGAGUUUCGCUGCUGUAUCAUCUGUGACACUGUAUCAGCUCCUAGUUUUAGGAUCAUGAGUAAAUAGGUAUAUAAGAGAUACGCUGUUAUUCUACAAAGAAGGGUUAUUUCAAAGAAAUAAAGGAAAAAAAUUAAAAGGGCUGUCA
rnacentral:lncRNA from 1 species